GAGUUUGAUCCUGGCUCAGGAUGAACGCUAGCGGCAGGCCUAACACAUGCAAGUCGAGGGGUAGAGUUAGCUUGCUAACUUGAGACCGGCGCACGGGUGCGUAACGCGUAUGCAAUCUACCUUGUACAGAGGGAUAGCCCAGAGAAAUUUGGAUUAAUACCACAUAGUAUAUUGGGGUGGCAUCACUUUGAUAUUAAAGAUUUAUCGCUAAAAGAUGGGUGUGCGUAUGAUUAGGUAGUUGGUAGAGGUAACGGCUCACCAAGCCUUCGAUCAUUAACUGGUGUGAGAGCACGACCAGUCACACGGGCACUGAGACACGGGCCCGACUCCUACGGGAGGCAGCAGUAAGGAAUAUUGGUCAAUGGACGCAAGUCUGAACCAGCCAUGCCGCGUGAAGGAUGACGGCCCUCUGGGUUGUAAACUUCUUUUAUGUGGGACGAAAAAGGGCCAUUUUUGGUCAACUGACGGUACCAUAGGAAUAAGCACCGGCUAACUCCGUGCCAGCAGCCGCGGUAAUACGGAGGGUGCAAGCGUUAUCCGGAUUUACUGGGUUUAAAGGGAGCGCAGGCGGACUGGUAAGUCAGUGGUGAAAGCCUUGAGCUUAACUCGAGAACUGCCAUUGAUACUAUCAGUCUUGAAUGUUGUUGAGGUUUGCGGAAUGGGUCAUGUAGCGGUGAAAUGCAUAGAUAUGACCCGGAACACCUAUUGCGAAGGCAGCAGGCUAAACAAAUAUUGACGCUGAGGCUCGAAAGCGUGGGGAUCAAACAGGAUUAGAUACCCUGGUAGUCCACGCCCUAAAC
rnacentral:rRNA from 1 species